GAUGAACGCUGGCGGCGUGCUUAACACAUGCAAGUCGAACGGUGAAGGCGGAGCUUGCUCUGCUGGAUCAGUGGCGAACGGGUGAGUAACACGUGAGCAAUCUGCCCCUGACUCUGGGAUAAGCGCUGGAAACGGCGUCUAAUACUGGAUACGAGCUGCGAAGGCAUCUUCAGCAGCUGGAAAGAAUUUCGGUCAGGGAUGAGCUCGCGGCCUAUCAGCUUGUUGGUGAGGUAAUGGCUCACCAAGGCGUCGACGGGUAGCCGGCCUGAGAGGGUGACCGGUCACACUGGGACUGAGACACGGCCCAGACUCCUACGGGAGGCAGCAGUGGGGAAUAUUGCACAAUGGGCGAAAGCCUGAUGCAGCAACGCCGCGUGAGGGACGACGGCCUUCGGGUUGUAAACCUCUUUUAGCAGGGAAGAAGCGAAAGUGACGGUACCUGCAGAAAAAGCGCCGGCUAACUACGUG
rnacentral:rRNA from 1 species